UACGAAGGGGGCUAGCGUUGCUCGGAAUCACUGGGCGUAAAGCGCACGUAGGCGGCUUUCUAAGUCAGGGGUGAAAUCCUGGAGCUCAACUCCAGAACUGCCUUUGAUACUGGAGAGCUCGAGUCCGGAAGAGGUGAGUGGAACUCCGAGUGUAGAGGUGAAAUGCGCAGAUAUCAGGAAGAACACCUAUGGCGAAGGCAGCUCUCUGGGACGGUACUGACGCUGAGACGCGAAAGCGUGGGGAGCGAACAGG
rnacentral:rRNA from 1 species